rnacentral:rRNA from 1 species
UACGGAGGUGGCAAGCGUUGUCCGGAUUUAUUGGGCGUAAAGCGCGCGCAGGCGGUUCGUUAAGUUCGGUGUGAAAGCUCCCGGCUCAACUGGGAGAGGUCAUCGGAUACUGGCGGACUCGAGGGAGGUAGAGGAAGGUGGAAUUCCCGGUGUAGUGGUGAAAUGCGUAGAGAUCGGGAGGAACACCAGUGGCGAAGGCGGCCUUCUGGGCCUUUCCUGACGCUGAGGCGCGAAAGCGUGGGGAGCGAACCGG